UUUGUAGCCUGGUUCCCGAGGCCUUCCGAUGUGCAAGCACGAAGGCCAGGCACUCACUGUCGAAUGGAUUCUUCCACUGAUCAAAAUCCAAUAUGGCGGACUCAAUGAUAAUUUUCCAUACAUAUGGAAAGAAGAAACAUAUGAUAGUGGGUGAAAAAACACCCUCAUAUAUAAUGCUUCAUGAAUAUGCAAAACCAUGCCAACAGUCUACAGACUCCAGAUGGAAAGAGAUGGAGAAAGAAUUUCUAAAGGGGUAUUCAAGGACCCAUCCUCCUCCACACUAAUUCAUAUUGGAAGGAAUUGACAUCCAACUUGAAUAAAGAAUUACAGACUUCCAGAACAGGUGCAUCGUGGAGAUCCUUUUAAAAAGGAGAGGCCAGAUCUUCAGAUGACUUUAUUGAAAAUGAGAAAUUUCUGAGUGGAAGUGACGAAUGUGGCAUGCAUACAAGCAGACAUCAGCAUUCCCUCCCUCUUGUUUGUAUCAGAGGUGAGCUUUUUGAGCAAGACUCAUGGAGGAAGUUUGAGAGUGUCAGUUCUCAGAUCAAAAAGUUAGCUAGCAGUAGGAGGAGUAGCAAUUCAUUCCACAGUAUGACAUGAGAAAUACGUGACUAGAAAGACCUUAAAAAGGAGAUUUGGCAUUGUUUCAUGUGGAGAUUAAAGAACCUUCGAAAUAUAUAACACAGACAUGUUUCAGUUACUUGGGGAUAACACUUAUGAGGAAUUUUGCUAACUUUCAGAUUGGAAUGUGUUGCACAAGAAAUGCUUGAUCACAACCCUCUUCUGUUAAAAACCUUUUCUAUGCAAUUAAUUAGUGUAAAUGAAAUUUAGCUAUUUCAUUAGUAAACAUGUUUUCUGCGCAAGUGUGUGUCUUUGACAUUAAAUGCUAUGAUAUUGU